CUGGCUCCUUGUCAGGUGAAAACACGAAGUCUGAUGAAAUGUUAUUAGUAAAAAAAAAUUUAAAAGACAUUUAUAGGGCCUGAAACGAUGGCCGAGAUGCCAGGAUGAGAAAAAUUGCAGUUUUCGACAUAAUCUUUGAAAUCAUCACAAUUAUUAUAUUGCAGGUUGGAAGGAUUUUAAAACGGAGACGUGUGCCCCUAAAGGACAUCUGCCCAAGCCGUUCUGCUUGUAUUUUGACUGCUCACACAAACAGGUUCUACUGGCCAGCGGGAAUGUAUACAGAGGAGUACACAUUCACCAACCAACAACCAGGAUAUAGUUUGUCGGUAUCUGACUUACACCACAAUAGUCUUCAGUGUUUGAAGAGUCCCUGCCCCCCCGGCCUGCUUCCGGCCCAGAGUCCGUGCCUUUGCGGCCUGCUGCCGCC
rnacentral:lncRNA from 1 species